rnacentral:tRNA from 1 species
ACUUAGAUAGUUUAAUUAGAAUAAUAAUUUGUGGCGUUAUUGGUGUAUUUAUACUCUAGGUU